CCUACGUGAGGCAGCAGUGAGGAAUAUUGGUCAAUGGGCGCGAGCCUGAACCAGCCACGUAGCGUGAAGGAUGACUGCCCUACGGGUUGUAAACUUCUUUUAUAAAGGAAUAAAGUGAGGCACGUGUGCCUUUUUGUAUGUACUUUAUGCAUAAGGAUCGGCUAACUCCGUGCCAGCAGCCUCGGUACUACGGAGGCUCCGCGCGUUAUCCGGUUUUAUUGGGUUGAAGGGGAGAGUAGAUUGGUUGUUAAGUCAGGUGUGAAAGUUUGCGGCUCAACCGUAAAAUUGCAAUUGAAACGGGCAGCAUUGAGUACAGUUGAGGUAGGCGGAAUUCGUGGUGUAGAGGUGAAAUGCUUAGAUAUCACGAAGAACUCCGAUUGCGAAGGCAGCCUACUAAACUGCCACUGACAUUGAUGCUCGAAAGUGUGGGUAUCAAACAGGAUUAGAUACCCCAGUAGUC
rnacentral:rRNA from 1 species